GACUUGUAUGAUCAUAUAUAUAUAUAGCAGGGGUAUGUUGAUGCUCCUCAGUCCUCACCAUCUGCGUAAUCACGAGUGGGAACAAUUCCGUGAAGGUGUGACGCUGAGGGAAAAGGCACCAAACUCUGAGGGUUACAUUGGUUGAUGUGGGUUUAGACUUUAGACAAGAGUGUUGUUGUUGAUCAAGUGCUUAGUCCAGGAGUUAGAGUCAUGGGAGCCAACCGUGAUUUAGAUCACACACAGGUCAUGUGAAACGGUCUCCUGCACGUGUAGCAGAUCCUCCUCCUCUCCAAGCUUUAUUCUCAGACGCUUCAUUCUAGAUUCUUCACCCAAAGUGAACCAACUUACUUAUGGGCCAAACCAAAACUAACCUCAACCUCCUCUCUUGUUCUUUUCUUCUUCUUUUCGGCCUUGCGUUGAUAUGAUUGGUGGAUGACGUGCUGCCUACGUAUCAGAUUGUUCCGACCUCUAAGCCAAGGGAAGAAACAGGGAUGUAUUGGGGGAUACAAAGUACGAUAUGCAUCACACCUAAGUUCAGUAUUCAAUGAAUUAGCCUACAAUGAAUUGCCCUUUCGAGGUACUCUGCUCUUCAUAUCAUAUUUCCUGAAUGACCUUAUAUUUACUAAUACCAAGCAGGGUGUUUAUAACUUUUGAUGCAAGUUGGCUUUUGAGUUUUAACUUUUGAAUAUAACUAGAGCUUAGAACCUCGUGUUUGUACUUUCUCAGUAGUGAUAAUUUUCUACUCUAAUGAAUUUAUGCAUACUUUUGAAUG